rnacentral:lncRNA from 1 species
UGAUUUAAUUCUUUCUUUUAAAAGUCUAACUGGGUGGGGGGGGGCAUCCGGUUAGCCCAGUGGAUUGAGAGCCAGGCCUAGAGAGUGUGAUAGAAGCUGGCACUAAAGAAAAAGUGCCAGACUGAAGAGUAUAUGAAAUUGAUCACCUCGAUGGGGGCGGGGCCCCAGGAAUGGAUUUCCUGAGAAGAGUAGACUCUGGCUGGAGAACAGUGAGGGUCAGUCAAAGAGAGAAGGUGAAUAAAGACUUUCUUCUGAGGGUUACCCAUUUUUCCUGCUGGUGACUAGAAAUCUUUCCCCCCAACAUUUCUCAAUUAAAGGGACAUUCUGAAGAGAAACCUGAGCAGACUUUACCUCAGCUCCUAUUGCCCAGGGGAAUCUUUGGCUUCAGUCUUCAGCUUGGAGCUUCGACUGGUGACUUAUCUCUUGGAGGUGGCUUUGGACUUGGACUUCAGCUUCCAUUUGGGACCUUGACUUCUUGGACUGCUCCUGGAUCUUCUGCUUUGUACUUCAUCUUGGGCAAGAAGUUGAAAUCUGAUGACAUGAUUCCUUAUAUAGGAACUUCCAUAUAUUCUCAACUUCAAAAUGAAACUUGGAUAUAUACUGUAGAUUCAAUGAUCUCUCCAUGGAGAAGUGUGAGAAGAGAAGCAGUUAAUUCUGGAUUUUAGUCUUUUGGUCAGGCAAGAAGCAUGGAAUACAUUCUAAAAGUGUAGAGUCAGAGGGUUAAGAAUAUUAUAUUACUUGUUGGUUAUGGGAGGGGUGUAGGAGGAGGGAAGGGAAAGAACAUGAAUCAUGUAACCAUGGAAAAAUAUUCUAAAAUAAAUAAAUAAAUAAACUUUUAAAAAAUUUAAA